GACAUAAUAGUAUAUAAAGUAUAAUUACCUUUUCAAGGUAAAGGUAACGUUAGUUUUAUGUUAC
rnacentral:tRNA from 1 species